UUCACUCACUCUCUCUCGCCCUUCCCUGAAGAAAAAUUUCUCUUCCUCGAAGCCCUAUCCCUCUCCUCCUACUUUCCUUUCUGUUCAGCACCCAACCUCCGAACCGAAUCGUCCUCUUCUUCCUUCUCCGCCUCAGACCAGAACCCGACCCUUCUCCGGCUCUUCCCCCAAACCCUAUCCCUCUCUCUCCCCCGUCCUAAUCGAACCAAAACCUUAAAGCCCCAGAAAACGAAUUCGCAGAGAUCUCUUUGUGGCUCAUCUCUGAGGUGCAACCUGGCGUUGACUCAUCAGAUGAAGGCGAAGAAUAUGGUGGCCACGGUGAGCCCACCCCGGUGGUCGGAGAUCGGUGACGGAGGAGAGAGUCCUCCAGAUCCACUUUCUCUCUCCUCCCUCUCUCUUUCAGAAAAAGAUUGAAAGGAUUGAUUUUGAAUCAAAGAAUUUAGGAAUGGCUUCGAGAGUCGUUGAUCAACAACGAGCCAGAGAAGUGUCAGACAAAGUGGCCAGCAAGGGAUUUUCAGUAGUAAGUUAUUUGCCUGAUAUUCAUCUUUACGGAAAUUUUGUACUAUCUUUAUCUAAGAAUGGGGGAAGGAAAAAAUAGGAUGGAAUACUUAGAGGUUAGAACUCAGUGGCGUGUAAUCUUAGUCACAAUUGAUCAAAAUGUGAAUUGGUUAAUGCACAGAACGUUUAAGGGGGUUUCUCAGCAUGGUCACAAAGGAAGACAAGGAGAUACUCGAGAAGCAGAUGCAUGGCAUGGCUGUAGUGAUUGAGAAAUUGGAAAGCAGUAGACAAAAAGCUUUUAAUGGAGAUUGAUUCCCAAUCUUUGGAGAUUGAAAGGCUAUUUGAGGAAAACUCUAAUUUAUCUAGUUCUCUUCAGGAGGCUAUGAGUAUAGCUCUGCACUGGGAGAAUCAGGUGAAAGACUAUCUUAAGCAAAAUGAAGCGCUCCGAGGAAUCUUAGAUUAGAUAAGUUAAGAAUUGACCAGGCCAAUGGGUUGCUCGACUCCCAUCAUAAUUUCUCUAACAAAACUGGUUUAGCUGAAUAUACACCUGAAGUUCUCUCUAUCAAGGUUAGUAUGUUGGUUUAGUGUCACAUUUGAUCAUCAAUGGAGUUCUCUUGAACUUUCUAUUCUAUAUGGAUGUUGGGUUGUUAAGAGGUAUAGAAACAGCAAGUGCAGUAUAACGACUUGUAGAAUAAUCAUAAGAAGUUAUCUAGGAAAAUGAUAAUCCAAUUAGUUUUUCACUUUGUUAUUUCUUAGGCUGAUAUUGCUGAUAAGGUGUAGCAUCGGGGUUGCAUUUUCUUUGUAGGAUCAACUUGCAAAAGAACAGAGCAAAGCAGAGGCAUUAUCAGCUGUUGUAUAUGAAGAAGUUUAGAAGACUUCAAUCUUGUUCUUUUCUUUUGUUGUUGUAUAUGGAGAAGUUUAGGCCAUACGUCCCCUUCUCCCUACUCUUUGUACUCUUUUUAUCAAUAGUAUUAAUGAGAAUUUUCUUUUGCUUA